rnacentral:rRNA from 1 species
GGCUAAUACCGGAUGUUCUGUCUGCACCGCAUGGUGUGGGUUGGAAAGAUUUAUCGGUGGAGGAUGGGCUCGCGGCCUAUCAGUUUGUUGGUGAGGUGAUGGCUCACCAAGGCGAUGACGGGUAGCCGGCCUGAGAGGGCGACCGGCCACACUGGGACUGAGACACGGCCCAGACUCCUACGGGAGGCAGCAGUGGGGAAUAUUGCACAAUGGGCGGAAGCCUGAUGCAGCGACGCCGCGUGGGGGAUGACGGCCUUCGGGUUGUAAACCUCUUUCAGUAGGGAAGAAGCCUUUGGGUGACGGUACCUGCAGAAGAAGCGCCGGCUAACUACGUGCCAGCAGCCGCGGUAAUACGUAGGGCGCAAGCGUUGUCCGGAAUUAUUGGGCGUAAAGAGCUUGUAGGUGGCUUGUCGCGUCUGCCGUGAAAACCCAAUGCUUAACGUUGGGCGUGCGGUGGGUACGGGCAGGCUAGAGUGUGGUAGGGGAGACUGGAAUUCCUGGUGUAGCGGUGAAAUGCGCAGAUAUCAGGAGGAACACCGAUGGCGAAGGCAGGUCUCUGGGCCAUUACUGACACUGAGAAGCGAAAGCAUGGGGAGCGAACAGGAUUAGAUACCCUGGUAGUCCAUGCCGUAAACGUUGGGCACUAGGUGUGGGGAACAUUCCACGUUUUCCGCGCCGCAGCUAACGCAUUAAGUGCCCCGCCUGGGGAGUACGGCCGCAAGGCUAAAACUCAAAGGAAUUGACGGGGGCCCGCACAAGCGGCGGAGCAUGCGGAUUAAUUCGAUGCAACGCGAAGAACCUUACCAAGGCUUGACAUGCACUGGAUCGCUGCAGAGAUGUGGUUUUCUUUGGACUGGUGCACAGGUGGUGCAUGGUUGUCGUCAGCUCGUGUCGUGAGAUGUUGGGUUAAGUCCCGCAACGAGCGCAACCCUCGUUCCAUGUUGCCAGCACUUCGGGUGGGGACUCAUGGGAGACUGCCGGGGUCACUCGGAGGAAGGUGGGGAUGACGUCAAAUCAUCAUGCCCCUUAUGUCUUGGGCUUCACGCGUGCUACAAUGGUCGGUACAAUGGGUGCGAUACUGUGAGGUGGAGCGAAUCCCAAAAAGCCGGUCUCAGUUCGGAUUGGGGUCUGCAACUCGACCCCAUGAAGUCGGAGUCGCUAGUAAUCGCAGAUCAGCAAUGCUGCGGUGA